rnacentral:lncRNA from 9 species
CCCAACUGUCCCCUUUGAUAACUGUUUUUCAAAGUCUGUGUGUCUGUUUCUGUUCUGCAGAUAAGUUCACUUGUAUCCCUUUUUUAGAUUCCACAUAUAGGAAACAAAUGACAAUUUUAACAUUAGAAAAACAAUUUCCAAUUAUGGGCUCCACAGGUUCAAAACAAAUUAAAAGGGGUCUUGAGAGGUGAAACGGUUAGGAGCCUCAACUAUAAUCCAACCAAUCAUUUCAUUUGCAGAUGGGGAAAGAGAGGCUAGAGAAGGAUGGAACCUGCCUUAGAGGAAGAUGGAUAUACGGAUUGGACAGUACAUGUGGAAGAGAAGCCGAGCUUCCAGAGGGCAGCAGGGCGCCCGAAGGUACCCCGUGGAAGUAGAAAGAGCCCUGGAGCUGGGGUGAGCAGGUCUGGCUAAGCGCUGCCACCUCAGCAGCAUGACCUUGGGCAAACCUCUGCCUUCUCGGGCCCUUCACGUCCUUCCUCAUUUGAACUUCGGUGAUGGAUGCUCUUUUCUCUUUUAAACACUUCGCACAGCUCGAGCAUUGUUUGAUUUCACUGGAGAAAAUGAC